rnacentral:rRNA from 1 species
UACGUAGGGGGCAAGCGUUGUCCGGAAUCAUUGGGCGUAAAGCGCGUGUAGGCGGCCCGAUAAGUCCGCUGUGAAAGUCCAGGGCUCAACCCUGGGAUGCGGGUGGAUACUGCCGAGCUCGAGUCCGGAAGAGGCGAGUGGAAUUCCUGGUGUAGCGGUGAAAUGCGCAGAUAUCAGGAGGAACACCAAUGGCGAAGGCAGCUCGCUGGGACGUGACUGACGCUGAGAUGCGAAAGCGUGGGGAGCAAACAGG